UGAAAGAAAAAUUCAAGUUUAACCGGGGAAAUUUUGUAGUAAAAGUAGAACAACAGCUGUGGAGUAUGAACCAGGACAUUUAAACAAGAUGUCGCACUUGUGGCGUGAUUGAAUUUCUGUGAGACCAUUUCCUUCGUGACAACUACACAGUUAGGCACUUCCUCUAGGUACAAGCCCAUCAUCCUCUUUUAGCCUGGAUCCAUGGACUGUGGCUCUAUUUUGACAACUUUGGUAGUGCGACAUGAAAAAGCAUAAAUGUAUACCCUGCAAUUCCUGUGAAAUUAGUAUUUAAUUAAUUCAUUUAAAGUUGCAGUGCCUAAAAAGAGAUGAUUUUUCUCCAUUACAUCUUGAUUUUUUUCCUUAAACACUAUCAACACCUUUGAAAUGGCUUUCUUUGCCUCUGCACUAGCCCCUUUUGUUUUAAGUUCUGGUAAUUGGGAUGAUCUUAAAUCAGUAACCAGAGAGUUGACUGAUAUUUUUAAUAUACAGUAAAUCCUGCUCACUUACUUUCCAAAAAAGUCCCCUAGCUUUCUACCAAAGAUUUUCAACAGCAUGGCACAAUUCAAAUAAUGCCUUUUCAAGGUUACUAUAAUUAAAGUGGUACAGAGGGAAAACAUGGCAUCACCUUUCCUUUGUAAGAUUGACUGUUAUCAGUUUCAUUGUUUUUCUGUAAAGUUUUGACCCUAUUGUCUUUCAUCCAGUAAAGAUAAAGCACUGCAGUUUUGUAUUCAGUUUACAAAUUGCAACUAAUACUGGCAUAUAUAAAAUGAUGAUCUAGUGUAAUCACUUACAGCAAGGUUUGUAGUUUGAUGUAUGACUUAAAAUGAUCAUGAAAUGACUGCCACGAAAAGAAGCAGUCUUACCCCAUUUUUCCCAUCUCUUUCCAACCCACAACUAGCCCCUUGUUUAAUGCUGUAAGCUGCUUCCUCCCUUGUGUUGGCACUCAUAAACUGAGCUGGGAAACUGAUUUGGUUUAAAAAUAAUCUGACUUUUAAAAUAGCUACUUUUAAUGAGGAUGAAUUCACUGAAGUUGUUCACUGUGCAGCUAUCUAAAUGUUUGGGAUGACUGAAUGCCCUGUGCAUAGGAAAAGCCUUUUAAAAAAUGUCAUGCUCCUUUAUUUCAGUUGUUGGAACUGACAUCAAAUACAUUCUGAAAUGUCCCAAGAAGACUAAAGGUGGCAGCUGAAAGGAAGGUAUGUGACAGUCCUCCUGUUUUGCACAACAGAAGCUCCUCCUGCAGCUGUGCCUAAAAUGGGUUUUUCACGCAUGGUUAUCUGUUUUCAAAACUACAAAGGAACCGGAAUCUAGCACUGUAGCCACUGGAGAAUUGUUCCCUCUAGGAGAGCAGGUACUAGAGAAAAACCUGGACUGCGAACCUAAAAUCAACACAGUUAUCGAAUAUGAGCCAAAACAGCAAAUCCAGAUUUGUGAAUGCCCAAGUGGCUGCGGUUAUGGAGCAGUGUCCACUUCCAUUUGCAGGUCUGAGCAGAAACACACUAUCUUUGUCAUAUAUCCUCUCUGUUUCAUGCUUAGCUCUCCUCUGGACCAAAAUUUCAUCUCUCACAGGGCUAGCAGUCUUCCCUAAUCUUAUCUCCUUUGGUCUCCAGUAGAGUUUCUCCCCACUUCUACGUAUGUCCUGUAGUGGCAGGAUAGCGUCCCUGAAAUGCAUCACAUCUCUGAAUAAUUCUGACAUUCUGUUCCCUGUGGUCCCGUUACACCUCUGAACAUUACUGAAUACAUUCAGCCACAUGGCAUGUACAAGCUGGAGCCUUCUCAUGAAAAUGAAAGAAAGUGCCUGGGGUCUGAGAAAGAAAGGUAGCUCUUUUCUUUUCAAACUUGCUGAAAGAUGAGUCACACUAUCUUUAAUCCAGUACCUCAGUACUUACUGCAAUCAGUCAGAGAAGGAGAAAUCUGUGUCCCCCCACACCCUGUCUGAGGGAUGUGCUCUAAUCACCAGGCAAUAGGUCAUGUUAGUAGCAAUGAAUCACAUUAUAUGCUGCUACUGAUUGCAAGUGAAAAAUCUUGCUUGCCUGUUGUGUAAUGCUGCUUUAGUAUCAGAUCGGGUUACCUACGCAGCUAAUUCACACUGCACAGCACCACAUAGCAGUAGGAAUACAGUACAGCUUUACAAAUUGAGUUUAGAUUUGUGCUAUCCACUGCUCUGU